ACUCUGCGGGCAGCUUCCGGGAAACCAAAGUUUUCGGAUUCCGGGGGGAGUAUGGUGGCAAAGCUGAAACUUAAAGGAAUUGACGGAAGGGCACCACCAGGAGUGGAGUGGCGGGCUUAAUUUGACUCAACGCGGGGAAACUCACCCGGCCCGGACACCGUAAGGAUUGACAGAUUGAGAGCUCUUUCUUGAUUCGGUGGGUGGUGGUGCAUGGCCGUUCUUAGUUGGUGGAGCGAUUUGUCUGGUUAAUUCCGAUAACGAACGAGACUCUAGCCUACUAAAUAGAAAGCAAAUUAUUCGUUUGCUGUACUUCUUAGAGGGACUAGGGGCGUCUAGCCUCACGAGAUUGAGCAAUAACAGGUCUGUGAUGCCCUUAGAUGUCCGGGGCCGCACGCGCGCUACACUGAAGGAUUCAGCAAGUGUUAACCCUGGUCUGAGAAGAUCGGGUAACCUUAUGAAACUCCUUCGUGAUUGGGAUAGGGACUUGUAAUUAUUUCCCUUGAACGUGGAAUUCCUAGUAAGUGUGGGUCAUCAUCUCGCGUUGAUUACGUCCCUGCCCUUUGUACACACCGCCCGUCGCUACUAUCGAGUGAUGAGUUAUCCAGAUUCUCGGACUGGCUCCUUGGCAGCUUCACGGCUGCCAUCGUGGCUCGGAAAGAAACUCUA
rnacentral:rRNA from 1 species